AAUAAAUUUUAUAAUGAUUUGAAAAUUAAUUAUAUUUUUAAAUUUAUAUAAAAUAAUUUAAUAUUAAAAAUUUAUAUUUUAAUUUAAUAAUUAUAUUUAAUAAAUUAAUGAAAGUUAAAUUUAGAAAAAAAAUUAAAUAGAAAUAAAUUUUAGUGCCAGCAAUUGCGGUUAAACUAAGUUUGUAAAUUAAUUUAUAUAAUUAAUAUAUUUUUAGUUAAUUUAAUAAAAUUAUUUAAUUAAAUUUUAAGAUUUUAGGUGAAAUUUAAUUUUAAAAUAUAUUAAAUUUAAUAAUUAUUAUUAUAAUAAAAUAAAUUAAUAGACUAGGAUUAGAUACCCUAUUAUAUAAAAUAAUUUAUUAAUUUAUAAUUAAAUGUUGAAUCAUUAAAAUUAAAUUAUAUGGCGGCUUUUCAUUCUUAUUAGAGAAAUUUGUAAUUUAAUUUGAUAAUCCACGUUAAGAAAUACUUAAAUUAAUAUUUAUGUAUUGUUGUAUAUUUUUAUAUAAAAUUAUUUUUAAUAAAUAUUAAAUUAAAUAAUUAAAAUUCAAAUCAAAAUGUAGUAUAUUUAAGGAUAUUAUGAAUUAUAAUAAAAUAAAUUUGUGGAUAAUUAAAUUUUAAAAUUAAUUUGAAAGAGGAUUUAAAAGUAAAUUUAAUAAAUUAAUUAAGUUGAAAUUAGUUUUGAAAAGUGUACAAAUUGCCCGUCAAUUUCGUUAAUGGAAUAAGUCGUAACAUAGUAAAAGUAUUGGAAAAUGUUUUUAGUUAAAA
rnacentral:ncRNA from 1 species